AAGUAGCAGCAAAUCCUCGUCCACUCAUCCAGUUCUACGGGAGGCCGCGGCUGCUGCUCCUCCCCCUCCACUGAUUCCGCCCUUCCUCCAAUGGCCGCCGCCUCCUCCUCUGCCGCCGCCUGCUUCCUCUCCCCGUCCCCUCCUCCCCGCCCGCGCCACCAUUCCAUCAAACACCUCGCGUGCGCCGCCUCCAGGUCGCCGUCGCCGGGGCCCUCCUCCUCCCGCUCCCUCGCCCUCCCUUCGCCUUCGGCUUCGGCUUCUCCGUGGCCGUGGCCGCGGCGGCUCCGCGACCUGCUCCCCGACGAGACCGGCCGGAUCCUGUCGUCCGCCACGGGCUCCCUCAUCGUCGCCCUCGCCUCGGCCGCGCUGAUCCUCGGCGACGCCGGCUCCGCCUCCGCGUUCGUCGUCGCCACGCCGCGGAAGCUGCAGGCCGACGAGCUCGCCACCGUGCGCCUCUUCCAGGAGAACACGCCCUCCGUCGUCUACAUUACCAACCUCGCCGUGAGGCAGGAUGCCUUCACGCUGGACGUGCUCGAGGUGCCGCAGGGGUCCGGGUCGGGGUUCGUCUGGGACAAGAGCGGCCACAUAGUCACCAAUUUCCAUGUCAUCCGUGGCGCGUCAGAUCUCAGGGUCACACUUGCUGAUCAGACAGUGUAUGAAGCGCAAGUUGUUGGAUUUGACCAGGAUAAGGAUGUUGCUGUUUUGCGUAUUAAAGCACCAACAGAUAAAUUAAGACCUGUACCAGUUGGUGUGUCGGCAGACUUACUGGUCGGUCAGAAAGUAUUUGCCAUAGGGAACCCGUUUGGUCUUGACCACACUCUUACUACAGGAGUCAUCAGUGGAUUGCGUAGAGAAAUCAGUUCAGCUGCAACAGGACGCCCUAUACAGGAUGUGAUACAAACUGAUGCUGCUAUCAAUCCUGGUAACAGUGGUGGGCCACUUCUUGAUAGCUCAGGAAACUUGAUAGGUGUAAACACUGCUAUAUACUCACCUUCAGGAGCAUCAUCCGGUGUUGGCUUUUCCAUUCCAGUUGAUACAGUUGGUGGUAUUGUGGAUCAGCUUAUAAAGUUUGGUAAAGUAACAAGACCUAUUCUAGGGAUAAAAUUUGCUCCAGAUCAAUCUGUAGAGCAGCUUGGAUUAAGUGGAGUGCUUGUCUUGGAUGCUCCUCCAAAUGGACCAGCAGGCAAAGCGGGUCUGCAAUCGACCAAGCGGGAUUCCUAUGGUCGGCUUAUCCUAGGGGACAUAAUUACUUCUGUGAAUGGAACAAAGGUAACAAAUGGAAGCGACUUGUAUAGGAUUCUGGAUCAGUGUAAAGUUGGAGAGAAGGUGACUGUGGAAGUAUUGCGUGGAGAUCAAAAGGAGAAGAUACCCGUGAUUCUUGAACCAAAGCCAGAUGAAUCAUAAUAGUUUUGCUAGAGAAGUUGUUUUCAUGGCCAAUGCAAUGCGUUGGGUAGUCUGCGAUGGCAUGGAGAUUAAUGUGAUGGUUAUGUCGUGAUGUCUAAUACAGCAGUGUCAACCACACACGACCCUGUCGUGGAUUUUGGGGAUCCAUACGGUUGUCGAGAGGCAGGGCUGAUGUUUCUGUAAACGCGGCAGGGUAACCAUCAAAGAAGUCUCUGAAGAUACUUUAGCUUCAUGGUCACACCUCUGCGAGGAUUUUGCAUCAAAGGCGUGAAAAGAUCUGUGAGCAACAAGUGAAAAGGAUGCAAUGUUUUAGAAAGGAAGCACCGCAGCAACAAGCAACGAAAAGCUAAUCAUGUUCAUUGCAUGAUUAAUUUAUAUCAGAGAAUAAAUAAAUAAACAAUUACCAGUACGAGGAUUUUCAAGUGAUACUACUACAGUAUCCUUGCUGCUCUGGACAAGUAGACAGACGUCAGGUCCAUCGGUCUGGGCACUGUUUGCAAGGACGAAUUAAGAGUAAAGCUUGGUAAAGGAGAGUUGGUGAUCGAAGGAGAUAUCUGGAAAAUGACCGUUCAUUUGUAGCAUAUGGUUGAAAUCUAUGGUGCAUGCAGCAUGGUUCAUAGAGUAGUUCAGUAUCAGAUUAUCAUCAGUACGUAGUGGCCGGUCAGGGGAAGAGAAGGUUGGAGAGAUUAAAGGCCCUGUUGAAACAAAGAAGUUUGCACCUGUACUUUAAUUAGUUUCGUUUGAAUGUUGCAUCGAUCUGUACUUUAAUUAGUUUUGUUUUGAAGGUUGCAUCUGUCCUGUA